rnacentral:lncRNA from 1 species
UUCCAGUAGAUGGCAGGAGAGUGUUGUGAAGAGCAGGUGCCUUGUUCUAAUUUGUGCGGCAUCUCUGUGACUUAGCAGUGGGCCCACACUUGGCACAUGACUGUUACAGCAGUCAUGACUAAGCUAGGGCCCCAGCAGAAAGAUGACGAUGGUAAGCAUAACCUCGAAGCUCUGUGCCCAGCCUGGCUGCACUGGAGGGGACAAGGCAGGCAGUUGGAGAGCUGGACAGUGAGACCUCACCCUUGGGACUGCCAUGGUGGCCCAUGAGGCCCUUUUGAGAUGCGUGGUUUAGUCUGGGGGUCCUCAAACUAUGGCCAGCAGGCCAAAUCCAGCCACUGCUUGUUUUUGUUCGGUCAGCGAGGUAAGAAUAGUUUUUACUUUUUAAAAUGGGUGGAAAAAAUCAAAAGACUUGUGACUUGGGACAUGUGGCUACAAAGCUUAAAAUAUUUACCAUCGGGCCUUUUACAGAAAGAUGUUGCCAACAUUUGGGACUUCCAUUGGCUCCAGACUAUCAUGGUAUUUUUGGGAAUGUAUCCAAAAGCAGAAGGCAGCCAAACUGUGGUCAUGAGAAGAUGGAACAGUGCUGUGGGAGAAAGACAGAAGCUUAGAGCUUCAUGACAUUGGAGAGCCCCUGGGUCAACCAACUCUAAAACUGUAUUAACUUGGAUCGCAAGUUGUGUGUUUUGAUUAUUUUUAAGCCAGGCCCGAGCUGGGUUUUCUCUUCUGUGCAUGUUUAAAGCUGUUGAGUAAUACAGAGUGAGAAUUAUUCUCUGAAAUUUUCUGAGUGUAAGCUUUCUAUUUCCUUUCUUGGAUGCCCCCACACUUACAGCCUUAAAGUUGCAAAUCUCUCACACGAACCAUUUCUUCCUUUGAAUUGCUUCUUUUUAAUAGUGUUUUUAAGCCUGGAUGAUGUAGCAGUAGUAGUAGUAGUAGUAGUAGUAAUAAUAAUAAUAAUAAUAAUAGCUAUUACUGUGCAUUUUCUAUUUGUUGGGCACUUUCAGAAGCAUUUUAUGUGUACCGCAUUUCCUACUGUAAAAUAGUAUGAAUUUAGAAGGAAUAAAUGUGCCUUUUACCUAUAACA